UGCUUUAAAAUGGUUUAUUGUACUUUUAUUUACUUCCACUUACUCUUUGACCAGGCACAUUGCUCACAGCCUGUCUCCUGGCCCUUGGAGACAGCUUGGUGUGAAUGAUGUUCAGGGCCUAACACUGCAAGGAUGCUCCAACAACUGUGGCGUGUUUGUUUUGAUGUACGCUCUGUACAUUGUAAUGGGGGCCAGUUGCGAUUUCAGUGAGGAAAACAUGCUGCAAAUUCGAAGAUGGUGGUGUCUUGUUCUCCUGCAGAACUUCCCCAUGCC